rnacentral:rRNA from 1 species
CCUACGGGAGGCAGCAGUGAGGAAUAUUGGUCAAUGGGCGCGAGCCUGAACCAGCCAAGUAGCGUGAAGGAUGACUGCCCUACGGGUUGUAAACUUCUUUUAUAAAGGAAUAAAGUGAGGCACGUGUGACUCAUUGAGAGUACCCGAAGAAAAAGCAUCGGCUAACUCCGUGCCAGCAGCCGCGGUAAUACGGAGGAUGCGAGCGUUAUCCGGAUUUAUUGGGUUUAAAGGGUGCGCAGGCGGAGGUGCAAGUCAGCGGUCAAAUUGCGGGGCUCAACCCCGUACUGCCGUUGAAACUGCAUCCCUUGAGUGCGCGAGAAGUAUGCGGAAUGCGUGGUGUAGCGGUGAAAUGCAUAGAUAUCACGCAGAACUCCGAUUGCGAAGGCAGCAUACCGGCGCGCAACUGACGCUCAUGCACGAAAGCGUGGGUAUCGAACAGGAUUAGAUACCCUUGUAGUC